rnacentral:rRNA from 1 species
AUGAACGCUGGCGGCGUGCCUAAUACAUGCAAGUCGAGCGAACAGACGAGGAGCUUGCUCCUCUGACGUUAGCGGCGGACGGGUGAGUAACACGUGGAUAACCUACCUAUAAGACUGGGAUAACUUCGGGAAACCGGAGCUAAUACCGGAUAAUAUAUUGAACCGCAUGGUUCAAUAGUGAAAGACGGUUUUGCUGUCACUUAUAGAUGGAUCCGCGCCGCAUUAGCUAGUUGGUAAGGUAACGGCUUACCAAGGCAACGAUGCGUAGCCGACCUGAGAGGGUGAUCGGCCACACUGGAACUGAGACACGGUCCAGACUCCUACGGGAGGCAGCAGUAGGGAAUCUUCCGCAAAGGGCGAAAGCCUGACGGAGCAACGCCGCGUGAGCGAUGAAGGUCUUCGGAUCGUAAAACUCUGUUAUUAGGGAAGAACAAAUGUGUAAGUAACUAUGCACGUCUUGACGGUACCUAAUCAGAAAGCCACGGCUAACUACGUG